CCUCCUGGUCACUCUCGGGGCUUAGCUCUCAAGGCCGACGCUCCUUCCUGUGGUCGCACGCCGUCACCCUGUCUAGCUCUCAGGAAGCCUGGCAACAGGAAACUUUGUAGGCGGAAGCUCUCCAGCGUGAAGCAGAGUUAGAGACAGAGCGGCUGAUUAAACUCUUUCUCUGUCUCUAAUAAAUUCCUUGUUCGGAGUGUCGUAUGUAAGACACGGGAGAUCAUUGUCCUGCUCUGCUCCGCACUGGUGAGAGACAGUGCAGGCACAUGCACUUCACCGGGGGGGCUCGUGAGAGAAGAAGAGACUUCAAGGAGCAAGAGAUGCUGGCACCUCAAAGAAACAUUGCAGUGUGUGGGGGUAACCCUGCUACCAACCUAGAAAAAAGCUGUGGAAGAGUGGGCUACUUUUUAAAGCAUGCACCUCUGCCCUGGUUGUGCAAGUGA